GUUCCUUGUACACUCAUUUAAACAGUGUCAUGGGCCACAUACUGAAUACUUGUUGACAGUUCUCAUGGACAAACUGCACUACGGGGGGAGAGAUGGAGAAGGAAAACAGAAUUGAUAAAUCUGAGGAGUCGAAUCGAUUUGUUUUCUAGUGAGCGACCUAUGAGGAAGAGAAACAAAGCCCUUUGAACAAUUCGGCAAAGCUGUACUAUCACCCCGGUCAGACUCUGGCUGUCUUUGAUUGGCUCAAGGGCUUCAGUCUAUCUGCUCAGGAUGAGAAGUUCACCGGGGUUGAGUUUCCCCCACGGCGACAUC
rnacentral:lncRNA from 1 species